CCUGGCUCAGGAUGAACGCUAGCGGCAGGCUAACACAUGCAAGUCGAGGGGCAUCGGGAGUAGCAAUACUGCCGGCGACCGGCGCAAGGGUGCGUAACGCGUGAGCAACAUGCCCGUAUCAGGGGGAUAAUCCAUGGAAACGUGGUCUAAUACCCCAUAGUAAUUAUGUAAGGCAUCUUAUAUAAUUUAAAGCUUUGGUGGAUACGGAUUGGCUCGCGUGACACUAGCUGGAUGGUAAGGUAACGGCUUACCAUGGCUACGAUGUCUAGGGGUUCUGAGAGGAAGGUCCCCCACACUGGAACUGAGACACGGUCCAGACUCCUACGGGAGGCAGCAGUGAGGAAUAUUGGACAAUGGAUGGAAAUCUGAUCCAGCCAUGCCGCGUGCAGGAAGAACCGGCCCUAUGGGUUGUAAACUGCUUUUGUAUGGGAGCAAUAAGGGCUACGUGUAGUCCGAUGAGAGUACCAUACGAAUAAGCACCGGCUAACUCCGUGCCAGCAGCUGC
rnacentral:rRNA from 1 species